ensembl:lncRNA
UUUUUGUUUUUUUGUUUUUUUUAAUUAUUCCUUCAUAUUCAAACUUCACAAACAGUGUGAACUUGUACAAUACCUCAGAAAGUGAAACUUACAAAAAAAGUGCUGGUAACAUUUAAAAAAAAAACAACAAAAACCCCAAAAAACAAACAUCAUUCUUAGCAACAUCAAUUACUCUUCCACACAAAACAGAAACCUUGUAAAAUUUAUUUUCGUAUUUUUAAGGCGUAAUACUUCUGUAUAAAGUAUAUGCAAGAGAUAAAACUUCACAGUAUUCCAAAAUGUCACAAUAAUAAUAUAAUAGUAUAAUGAAGCGCUACAGUUAAGUUUUCUUUUUUUGAAAUUUUUUUCCUGUUUAAAUAACAAAUACAAGUCACAGGUAAAUAUACGUGAGAAAAAUACGAGGCUAAUAUUAAAUGGCAGGUAAGGGUACGGUCACUGUAAGAAAAACUGGCAGGAUGUGUGUAUUUAGUCUAUAUUUUAAAGCACUUGAUAGAAAAGGCGUACGCAAGGUUUUUCAAAACAAUUUUUCUGUUUGUUUGUUUAAUAACUGACAACAAGAGUAUAAUGAGAGAAAAAAAAGGAACAAACUCCCUCUCAAAACUAUUGACCUGCUCAUCCCAGACCACGCCCCUGUGGGAGGAUGUGUGUGUGUGUGUGUGUGUGUGUGUGUGUGUGUGUGUGUGUUGAUGUGUGCAUGGGUUUCUACAGUGCAGACUGAGACAGCAGUGUUCCACACCCACCUGCAAAGACAGCCAUUCAUCCCGUUCCUCCUGGGAAAUUCUUCUUUUGACCUAAUGCUCUCUCUUUCCUUGCCUCUCACUUCAAACUCUUCUUCCCGGUGCCUAGUUCAUCAGUCUGAAAAGUUGCCCUCCAUUCAAAAUUCUCUGGGAAGUGGAAAACUGCAUUUGGUGUGUGACACCCACAGAGACAUCUGAAAUAUCACUUGGACAAAUGAGUUAUGGUUGUGUGUGUACAUUAGGUCUGAAUAUACAGUGUGUAUGUGUGCACGUGUGUGUAUACACAGUAGCAAUUGCAAAAAGGGGACCAUAUUCCUUCCCACCCUAAUAUACAACGUGAUAAGGAACAUUUUUCCGUGCAGGGCAGGGUUUCUUCGAGUCUUAUCACAACACUGUGGUGGGAAAAUCAGAAAAUGAGUUCACCUUCCAGCAGUCACCACAGUAAACAUCAUUGAGAACACACGUGCUCAGGUGUCUGGUCUGUGCACAUGUGUGUGUUAACAGCUAGCUAUUCAGCUAACGGUAACAGAAGACAGCAGAUAGCAAAAUACGUCAAUAAGGUGCUCAAAGAAAAAAGUGGCACCCACUCGUCAAAUGGAUGGCCACAUUAAGGUGCUUCAAAAAGAGUUUUAAAGUUUUUAUUUCAAACGUUGAGAGAGUUCUGGUUUGCACGUGGUAGUUCUGAGCCAGGCCAAGGGUUUUGAGUUUUCUGACAUCUUCCUACUGAAAAGGGCUUUCACUGUGGUUGUUUUGUUCACUUGGAUGUGGUCACUUGAGUCUAAAACAUUUUUAAUAGCCAAAAAUGAAAAUCAAAUCAUCACGACUAACAGAAAGAACUGACGAAAUGGUAGAGAACGUUACUGCAUUCCCAUUGGAUCAAGAUGGUUUGUCCCAGUUUUCCUCAAUUGCUAACACUGUUCCUUUUUUCCUUUGUUACAAUCAAUCCGUUCCUUAUGAACAUACAGAGACGACCGAAGUCACUGCAAGUGGCUGUUUUUAUUUUUGUGAUCUGCUGCAAGAGUCCGGCCUUGCUUCCUCUGCUGCUGUUUGUGUAAUGAGCAUCUGGGUUUGUGAUGGACAUUGGCUAUGCUAUGUGCACCUGUGUGUGCGCACACAAACACCUAUACCAGUAUAAUAGAUACACUGUAUAUAUGUGGGCACAUAUAGAAGUGUGUAUACAUUUAUACAUAAUAUAGUGUAUACUGUUUCAACUGGAGAUACGCUGAACUGGGUCCAGACGCUAGCACAUGUUAAUCUUUCCCCUCUUCCCUCUGUGUGUUUAAACAGUCUGGAGCUUUUAUUUAUUUUUAAAGUGCAUUUUUAAUGCAGAGUAACUGUAAUCCACUGAUUCCUUGGAUAACAUUUUUUUUUUUUGAUGAGAAAAAUCUGACAGUUUUCAGCCCCAGGCAAGAGAAACCAGGGUUUGGUGGUGCCCAGGGCUGACGUGGCAGUGCCAGGCUCAUGCCUGAGUGAUUACUGGGCGUUCUGGACUCUGGGCACCCCAGCAGCAGCAGCAGCAGCACCGUUACGAGAAGGCAAAGAUAGGAAGAAGGAAGCGAAGUUCAGAGGAAGAAGAGUGUAUCUGGUGUUUGAGAAUGUGUGCGUGCGUGCAUGCGUGUGUGUGUGUGUGUGUGUGUGUGUGUAUUCACACAUACUCAUAUAUGAGCAUUACUAAUCGUGAUGGUGAUGGGCUUGUGUAGUCCCUGUGUAUUUUCAGCUAAGAGAUGCCAUCUAGUUCCUCCCCCUCCGACUGACUCCAAUACCCGAUGGCCCCCACAUGUUCAGUUGUCACCUAGAGGUCCUCACUCCUGAGGCUGGCAUCAGCGUUUGUUCCCAUGGGCAUGUGAAUGCCAGCAUAGAGUAGGAAUAAGGCACCAGGGAAAUCAAAUGUUUGAGAGAAAGCAAAACCCCACUUCAGAGAGCCCCUUUGCUUGUCCCAUUAACAUACUGCAUGUGUCACCAUGUCACUCGUGUACGUGAGAGUGUGCCAUACACAUUUUCUGAAAGAAACUCAACCUCGAGGCCCUUCAGCACCAGAGAUCUUUAGGAAUGCACCCUUGUCUGUACCUCCCCACCCCACCCCACAAGCAGAAGCACCAAGUUGGGAGAAUGAGGCAACUUUCCUCACCCACCUCAUUGUGAUAAAACAACAAUAAAAAAGUCUAUGAGAUAGAAAUUUCAGAAACUGCUCUAAAAUCAAGUGGAUUAGGCUGUCAGGAUUCUAAUGACUUGAUGCUCUAAGUGUGCACAGGGCCAUGUGAAGGGGUUAAAAUGUUCGUGUUUAAUAUUUAGUGGGGGAAUAUGCUAAAAAAAACCAAAACUCCCAAUCGAUGCCUUUAAUCCUUCCAACAAACACUUUCACCACCUUCUUCUGCUAAAAACAAAAAACCCAACACAUUGUAAAAAGGAAGUGGUUCAUUUAACUAUAAAAGGGAAAAAAUGAAGGCACAUGAUUUUAAUUCAGUCCCACAAUCCUUAAGAAAAAUAGAUUUUGUGUGUGUGUCUGCGUGCGUGUGUGUGUGUGUGUGUGUGUGUGUCUGUCUGUCUGUCUGCAUGCAUGUGCGCGCGCGCGCGUACAUGCACGGGUUUUUGCAUGAAGUAUGAAGCCCAUGGACAGUUACUAAGAGAAGCUAGAAAAGAAAAUGAGAGAAUUUGGGGCAGAGAGAAGAAAGGAGAAGGAAAUGGAGGCCUCUCUUCAGUUUUUUGUCACUGACAGUCUUAAAAUUUUGGCUGCUUUAGGGUCCAGAAAACAAUUCAUUUGUCUUGGUCUGGAAAGUGCCCCAGUUAUAAAUAUCUCCAGUUAAUCAUGUUACAGCUUUUGGUGUUUCCCUUUUCCCUUCCCUCCAGCCAAAUGAUUUUUUAAAAAAUAUCACAGUUUUUAAAAAUUAUUUUUUCAAUGUUGAAAAAAUAUGGAAAAGCUAUUGAACAGCCUCAGGGCACACUGCCUCUCCAUCUUCACAGUGAGCAGAUGGAUGGACAAUCCACAGAGUCAAAGAGGAGGCGGGUGGCAAGAGCCCUUGUGCUGAGUGGUCCCUUGCUUUACCUCCUGAGGGCCGGGGCCUUCACAGCACCCGCAGCCAUGUUUUCUACUUGGAUCCCACCCCCUCCCAUCCAUGGAACGUGGGCUGCUGAGAAAGGCAGAGCCACGGUAACUGGAGGGUCUUCGAAGCAGAAGGUGAAGGGGACAGGGGCGACCCCGCCAGGCACUGUUAGCUGUGUGUGCUCUUGGCAGCCUCGCCUCUGGAUGGAGAAGCUCGGCGGCCCUGGGGCUGGCAGCCGUCCCCCUCACACCUCUCUUCCUGCGACCUCUCCACCUUCACGCCUCUCAGCAGAGCUGGCCCCACGUUCCUAAGAAGGCAAUGAUCCAAGACAGAGAGGCAGGGCCAACCGGCUGUGUUAUACAAAAAAGGGGCUAUAGACAGCGGGAUUUCAGAAACAAAUUUAACUUUGGUUUUCCGACUUUUUCAGACCAUAAAAAUUAAAGCAGGGCUUCGGUGACUUCCGUCAUCUGAGAGCUGUUAUGUUUUCCUCAUUUGGCAAGGCUAAGGCAGGGGGGGAGGGAAAAGGUUUCCCAUAAUUGGUUGAAGACACAGGGUGGUAAAAUGCUUCCACACUUAAACUCACAGUCCAGUGUUUUUGACAUUUCAUAAAUAGCUUUUUUCUCUAAAAAAAAGAAUAAAACAAGAACAAUCCCUUUACUUACUCAUCUGAAACAAAAUAAACAGCAGUGGGUACAAACUUCUUCUUGUAACAAUUACAAAAACAACAAUAUAAUCCCAACUUUUAACACGCAUCUUGAAUCAGUUAUUAUUUUUUUUAAUCUCAAAACUGCAGCAUAUCCUUAAGGGCAAACUUUUCGAUUAGUUUUUUUCUUUUUUUCUUUUUUUAAAUAAUGUCUUCACCAAAAAAACAGUCUUGUACCAAUAAAAUGCAUUCAAAAAUAGAAAAUAUUACACAACAAAAAUAUGUAUCCUUCCUUUCCAAAAAAGAUUCUUCACAAAAAAAUGUAGAAAAAAUUCCAACAAUUUUUCCCUCUCCUAAACAUUAACUUUCAGUCUAGGGCACAACUAUUUAUUGAUUUAAAUGUCUGCUUUUGCAUAAGAUAUGGAAGAUGCAAAACUUUACUGUAUUAGGAUUGUGACAUAACAUCCACUCCCACCCCAUUCUAAAACAGAACAAAACCAGAAAAAUCCAGCAAAUAUUAAGCAAAUAAUGAGCCGGCUGGCUAAGAGAAGUAACCUAUGUCUCCUUUCUCUGUCCAUUUGCAUGUGUCAGCUGGCCUUGUACUAGGGGAUGCUGGGGAAGAGAACAGGCAGGCUUCAAAAGCACUUGGUUAGCACACACAAUUUCAACCAAUCACUUACAGUCUUCCAUGUUGUGGGCCAUCACCGCUAAGCCUCAGAGAAUUAUGUGAAUUAGCAUGAGGACUGUCAGAGCACUGUGUACAUUUGUGCACUGGAUACAUACAUUUUUACAAAUCCUUCUCAAGUACUGAGUGUGCAUCUGCGUGCGUGCGUGCGUGCGUGCGUGCGUGUGUGUGUGUGUGUGUGUGUGUGUGUGUGUGUGUGUGUGUACGUGUGUAUAGCUGAGACACAUGAUAAGAAGUGACCCAGAGGUCGGGUAGUAUAAGGAAGGCUAGGGCACUCCCUACUUAAUCUCUUCCGCAUUCAAUUUGCUUAGGUUUUUAUUGGAACAAUGAAAAGAUCUUGCCUCAGAAAGGAAUGGGCUGUUUCCUCUGCUCACUUUAAACCUAGGUUCCUCUUAUAGUUUUCGGCACCAUAGCUUACACUGUGUUUUUCUUACUUGGACAGUAUUUUCCUCUCAUGUGAGAUAUAGCUUAUGUGUAUAUUUUGCUUGAACAGAUUAUUUUUCAUAGCUUUUUUUUGUGUGUGUGCAUGUGUGUGUCCUGUUACUUACUUGGUUGCUGGUUUUUUCUUUGGGGUUUUGUUUUGUUUUGCUUCUGAUUUUUAAACAGUGAAAUGUGUCCAAUUUUGUUUCCAGUGCAUUCAACAAAAUUUAAAUUAAAAGAAGAAAUAAAACUUUCCCCCUCAUUCUUCUAAAGGAAAUGACUGAUAAAGUACAUUAUAAUAAAAUCAGGCAUUACCAAAAAAAAAAAAGCAAGCAUCAUUGUGCAACCUCAAUUACAUCAAAGGAAACAAACAAACAAGACUUGUAGAACAGAAGCAUGAAGAAGCCAUGAUAACAUAAUCCCAACUAUGGCGUGACUGGCGAGCACUGGUUAAAAACAGGUAAGGCUACUCUUCGAUUCCUAACAACAUAGUUAACCACUGCUCUCCUGUCUUUUCUCUUCAUCUUUACUCACUAGAUUCUUUACAUGUUUAAAAUGAGCAAAUUCGUUUUAUAUUUUUGGUCUACAGUAGAGUUACAUAUUAACAAUAUAAUAAAAAGGUAUUUAGGUAACAGGUGGGAACUGCAUCCAUGUGGGGAAAUAGAAAAAAGAGCACUCAACUUGACAUAGCAAAUGGACCCUACUUUUAUAAAAAUAACAAUAAAUGCAAUAGAAAUUAUACUCAGGGUAACAUUAAAUUGAAAGUAAGUAUAGAAAUUUCUAUUUGGGAUAAUACAAACUUCUCACAAGCUAUACCCUAGAAUUGCAGCUUCAACAUCUUUCCCAUGAUUCCACCUUUCCACUCUCGUUCAAGAUUCAAGUGGAAAUGGAGACAAAGUGAAAAUAAAGGUGACAGAGGUCUGAGCCAGCCAAACUUCCACGAUAUCAGAGCUGGUUAUCAGGAUACUGGAUCAUCAAGACACUUGGGAAAUUGUGCAGUCCUCAGGGGCUGCUCAUAGUGUUUGCUUAGUUUUAAUUUUGAAAGAGUUAACCAGCCUACUGAUGAAGACAGAAGCCAAGGAAUCAAAUAGUUGUGGUGACAUUUGUGAGAUGAAGGGUAAGUCUUGCUGAGAGGACAUGCUGAUGACAUGGAAGAGAGAGAAGAAACAGGUAAACGUUGGGUACUACCUGAAUCUGUUUGCUGUAGCACAGUAGCCUCAUGUUGACUCUAAGCAUCCUUUAGGAUGAGCUGUAGACCAUAAUGUGUUCUGGGUAAAUAGGUGUCAGUCAUCUCCCUAUAGGCUUGAGAUCCAGACUCAUUGGCUUUCAUAAGAGCUGGGUGGGUCUAGUUUGUCUCCACUCCCUAUCACUCACCAUUGCUCACCCAUGGCAGAGAAGGCAAUCAAAACUUUCAGGGCAGAGGCUCUCUACUAGAUGUCCCUAGCUGAUGGGUGAUCAAGAACUUACGGUUCAGUGCUGGGGAGAAACAAAGAAAAGUAAUUGUUGGAUUUGGUAAUAAGAAAUGUGAAGUUUUCUUUAAAGAGGAAGGAGAAAAGUAGAUCUAGGAAGGGAGGAAGGGGGGAGGGGGAAGAGAGGGAAUGAGGGAGGGAGGUGGAGUAGUGAAGGGGAGAUAAUGUUAUAAGAACACAUUACUUUGGGUUUCCUUUAACUUUGAGUUGUCCUUGUUAAUUUUUCUCCUCUCAUUCAGUUGCUCCAGUUUAAAGGAGAGGUUAGAACCUAGUGCAAAUACCUUCAAACUACAGCAUUUCAGGGGCAAUAUCCUAUCCCUUCAUCCCUCAGACCUCUUCAGAAGAUGGGGGCAAUGGUUCAGAAAAGCCUAACUGAAUACAUGACUUGCUACAACAAGAAAGGCACUAUCACAACAGAUCUACUUCCAAGAAGUUCCCUUGCUGUGGCAUGAACAUUUCAACAAUGUCAGAAAUCACAGCAAAGCCCACACUUUAGUCACUCAAUAUGUGAAUCCACUGGUGAUUUCUCAACAUCCUCAUAGGCCACUGCCAUUGGCCCUGGGCACAUGGAGCCCUGGUUUGCUCUUCACUCUUACUGCCCCAAUGGUCUUCUCACCUGCAAUCCUUGUUUGGUUCUGAGUGAUUUUGCUCUCUCCAUGUUUCUGUCUACAAGCCUCCAGUCUACAGCUGUGCUCCACACAGCUUACAGUGUCAAGUAGUACUGUGCAUUUUUUUUUCCUUUUACCUUCUUAUUAACCCCCUAGUCAUACAGACCAUCAGAAACCCUUUUACUUCAAGAUCUGUAAAUACCAUUGUGAAUGAAAGUGUACUCUGUGGACCACCGCAAGUAUAUCCUUAGAAAGGAGAGAAAGGAGGCUGGGCUCUGGAGAAGAAAAAUCUUUGGUGACAGAACUGGGGUGGAUAUGCAAGUUUCAAGAAAAAUGUGUCUCCCAGUACCUCAAGGAAAGUAUCCAAGAAUAGUUAAGGUGAGGAUGUUUUAAAGGUCAACUGUUUCCUCUCAGAGCUUUGGUUGGGUGUCUCCAUGUCCUGUUAGUGCUUUCCCAGCAUGCAUUCCUAGGUAUCUGCUAUGAGCUCUGAUUCGGAAUUCCUAUAUGAAGUACAGGCAAUGCUUUGAGUUAGCAUAGGUUAGUUCCAAAUGGUCUCUACAGGGCUUAACUAGCAAGGCUGGCACUUUUCUAUAUAUAUAAAAAGAAACUCUGGCAUGGAAAAGUAGACUGAGACAGCAUACGGAGGAAGGAGAAAGUAUCAGAUUGAUAACCUGUUAAAGAGGCCUCAAGUGGAAGUUUUCCAAACUAAUGCCCUCACAUGAGACAGUGUUCAAAGAAACUCAACAUUAGCUGUUUACAUGGGUUGUGAUUCUUACUGAACAAGCGUUUUCAACAGCUGUCAUCCGGGACUCUGUAGGAGUCCCUCAGAGUCCUCCACUUGUCUUAUUCACCACACAGUCUAUUGCUCUUCCUGUGGUACAAGAUCCUCUUGUUAGAAAUUACUAAAGAGCUGUCAAACCCCGGUUGCUUCUAAGAUUAAAAAAGACAAUGAAUGUAAAUUGAACACAGAAAAGUUGGGGAGGGGGAGCGACAACUUUUAACUUUUAGGCACUCGAUCAAGGUCUCUGCUUAAGAAUGGUCUAGGGUGGAGCAGCUCGUGGACUAAGAGACCUCCAACCCCUUCUCUAGUUUUCUAGUUGGCCUACUUCGUUUCAGAAAAAGCCUUUCACCUCACAGACUGGCAGUGUUUAUUGCACUGUUCCCUUACUGCCACCUUACAGGGCUUUACCACAUGCAUGGCCUUCCUCUUUGGUUACCCAGAUCUAGGUCUUACCACGAUAGAAAAGUAUGCGCAGAGUGAAAGGUUAUCUGAACAUAGACUCAUGACCCCCAGGCACCCUGGGAUGUGCUGCCGUGGGGAGUUUCUGUCAUCUUGUGAGCCAAGAUGAUGACUUCAUGUCAUAUCAGCCAGCUUCCUCACUUUUGGGGCUUAUUCUAAGCUUAGUCGGAAACAAAAUUGGAUACUUUUCUUCUUAAAUAUCCUUCAUUUGCUGUACUAACCCACUUCCAUACAGUAAGAGAACAAUUUUUUCCAGCUUAGCAGUUUUCUAGACUUGAUCAAGAGUUGGCAAAAAUUCCAGAUUCUCACUGCCUCUGCUAAGACCACAACAGAAAUAACCGCCCUCUCUGUGAUGUGCCUGGUCUUUCAGUCUUUCUUCUCUUACCUAACACACUCUCCUGGCAUGAUUUAAUACAUCUCAGUAGUGCAACGCAGUGCAGUCGCGCUUAGUGCAAACAAAACUAAACAAAGAAACAAACAAAAACAAAAAAAAAAAGGAGAGGGGUCGGGGAGGAGAAGAAAACUGACUACAGACUCAAAGGUCAACCAUAAAAACUCUGGAAGGGGAACUAGAGCAGGCCUUGCUUCACACUUUGGUGACUCACCUCUCUGCUGCCUUGCUUGUUUCAGCUCAAAGGAGAGAAACAAGCAAGCUUGUACUUCUGUAUUAUUCUGUAAAACAUUAAGCCAGUUGACAGAAAAGGAAGGCCUAUGGUUGAGUUGAAAUCAAGACUAUUAGAGGAGGGACACAUCUAUUCAAUGCAAAGGUCAGUAGUGCUUCUUAAUGAUCUUCUCUUGUCAACCAAUUGGUGCUAAGGGAGAUGGGGAUGAGGGGGAAGAGAGUGGGCUUUCCUGUUUCCUAAAACUCAGUUCUACAUUUAACAGUCCUGGGCCCUUCUUGGUGAGUAGCAGAAUCAGUUAUUUUUCAAAGAUUACAAGUAGCAGCCACCUUCCAUGACAUCAAUAGGUCCACUUUCUGGAUGGGUCUCUUUCCCUCGUGCCAUUCCUCUUUGAUUUUUUUUUUAGAUUGUUUGUUUGGUUUGCUUGGCUACAGAAAUACAGAUCCCUAUCCACAUACAAAGAAACUUGCCAAGUCCUCUCUUUUUAAAAGAUGGGUUUUAAAAUUGGCACAAAUAACUCCAUACAAAAAGGUAGAACCAUUAAAUACAAAGUGAAUUAUUAUACUAAGAUGCAGAUCCUGUAUCUUAUCCUCUUCUUGUAUUUUUCAGUUAAAAAAGAAAACAUCUGUAGUGGAAUUUCUUAGCGACUUCUUACUGCAGGUUGACAAAGUGAGUUUGGGAUGGUGAUAACUUGAGUGAUUCUGGAGAAGCACUUGGAAUGUGGUAGCCCUCCAGAGUCUGCCCCUUCAGGGUAUCUGAACCCUCCCUCUGCACAUGUGAAUCUGCCUGACUGCUCACCUCCCCCCAACACACACACACACACACACACACACACACACACACACACACACACACACACACACCAGAGCUUGAGGAGAACAGAAAGAAACAGAAAGGAUGUUUGGCAUCUGGGGGGUUUUAAAACAAAGCAAUAGUAGAUGUUCUCUGUUAUGAGCUUCUUACUUGUUUGCUGUGAUGGGUGUGGACUUCUGAGAGACUCUGCGUUCAUCUACUCGGACAACCACAAUUAGAUAUGCCUAAGCAAAUUAUCCUUAAUGUAUACUUUAGUAGGCUCCCCUCGAAACCUGAAGUCUAAAUCAAUGGGAGCAGGGAUGAAAUUGAAUUGCUCAAACAUCUUUGGGAACUUUCUCCUGACUCUACUGCUGACUUCAAGCCAAGAUGUGUCCCAUGAAGAACAAGGAGUUAAAUUGCUAGCUUGGUUUGUAAAGGUUCCCUAGCUGUGAGCGAAAGCACUUCAAACUAUUGUAAACCCUUAUCGAAGCCCUAAGGGUCUGUUUUUGGUCAUCUGGAUGCACACAUCACAUGUGUCCUGGAGGGCAGGUGAGGUGCAGACCGGCCAAGGAUUUCUAUAACCUCUUCAGAUAGUCUUGAUAGCAUGGAGAGAAGCCAUGAAUCACAGAGGACUAUAGUUGUUUUAAUUCUCAGAACCAUCACACAGAGAACACUGACAGGACCUGUAAGAUCAUUCUUUGGUAACCCGGAGAUGGGUUUUAGGAUUUUAGAAUUGAAUUCUAUUUAAGUCCAUUAAGUUAUGCUGUCCCUCCCCACCCCACUUCCCUUCUGUUCACUUAAUUGAAAUUGCACUUACUUCCCAAAUUUGAGCCAAAAAUGUAAAAAUUAUAGCACAAAAGCCAGGUUAUAAAAUGAUGCCAAGCUAUCUGUAGGCCAAGCUGAGCCACACAUCGUACACUCUGACAAGGGACUAUGACCCUUUGCCUAGUGUUAAUCUGGUGUCUUCCUCUUUUGCGAUGCUGGGCGUGGAUAGGUGAAUGCUGGCAGCCUGGAGAUUUCCUACUUCCUACCAUCUCAGUGCCAGGGAUGGGCGUUAGGAAUAAAGUGGAAGUGGAUGUUUCCAUGUCUAAGACCUUAGGACCAUAGACAGCUUAAAGUGACCACAAAUGAAGUCCCAACUACCGUGAAAAUAGGUAGAUCAGAUCAUCUGAGUAUCUUACUGAUGUUUCUUCUUUUUCUUUCUGGGAAUUCUCUUCUAGACACUCACAAGAAACAUCCAAAUUAAAGAAAAUAAGUUUGUCCCCAGCUUUAGUUAGGAUUUGAGGGAGCAACAAUGAUCUGAGUGUAGAUCAAUGGCUUUCAUCAGUGGUCAGCUCCAUUCUUUGGCCCCAGACCUGUUAGUUUAGGUAAAGAUUGCUUUUCCUUCAAGGACUAUGUUCUGUUUUAACCAGUCCAUCCCCAAAGUGCAGAAAUAAUUUCUCUUUUCAAAGUUCUAAGCGAUAGCAGAAAAGACUUCCAUGAGAAAGGACACCUUGAUGGGGGAACUGAAGGCUUUCCUAAGGGGCAGGAGACUAUUGAGGAGCAGAGGAGAGUCGCCUGACGUGCGGGGACAGCAUCAAAUCAGAGAAUUAAAAUACUUCCCUAGCUUGAGAAGAAAGACAUAAAGGAAAACAAAUCAACAAACAAACUAUAAAAUACACAUUCCUCCAGUUUCAGAUUUCUAUGAAGUUAUAAUUAUGCUUAAAUCAAGGUUCACAGAUAGCAGACACUGUUUUGAUGUGUGAAAGUAUUGUCCCUUUGCUUCGCCAUGUUUCACUUUCUGUGAAGGAAUUGCACCCAUGCACACUUGUCCUAAUGUCCAGUGCAGAAAAUAAACUUGUUUGCUACCAGCUUCAAUUCCAGAACAUUUCCUAAUCUAUAUUCACAAAAACUAAAACUAUCUAACUGUAAAAUGAGAUGCAGGUUUUCUGAAAUGUGUUGGGGAAGGGGUAUGCACGAUUUUUUUAAUAGAUAAAAGAAGAAAAAAAACCAUUUCCUAAUCUCUCAGAUAUAUACUGUAGUGUUUCUGACCAUUAUUUUUGCUGCAUUAGUUACUGUCCGGACUGUCGGUGCUCUUGACAGGUGUCAGCUUGCAAAAACAGGAGGCUCACAUUCAUCUGUGACUUAAGAGGUUUUGGUGAGAAAUUCUGGGUCUCCGGGUUGGAUCGCUUUGAGAACUUGAAGGAAGAACGGCAAGAAGGCAGCCUGGAUCAACUGGCCCAAGUGAGAUCUUCCUGAGCCAGCUCUCUCCCAUUCCACACUGUGCUUGAGAUGACAGUGCUUGGUGAUUCAGAAGAGUGGUCUAUGCCUUCAGAAGGCAAUGCCGAUUAGAGACAGAAUACUUUCUAAAGAGAUGGCAGGAAUCCCAAUGGGAAAAGAAAGACUUGAGGGUAAAACUUGGUGAGAGGAUGUGAGAAGGAAGAGUUGGUCUUCAGUGAUGCGGGCAUUGGCCUGGGACACUGUGGCUUCCUGCUAGAUGCCUACCUCAGGAAGGCUUUUGAAGUUGACAUUUAUCUCACUGCUCUCUGUGGGAACUGAUGCUAUAAAUUGGUUUAAGACAAAAUCUGAAUCAAGCUUCAAGUCAAGCAAUAAUACAUUUUUCAUAUUAAGUGUGGAUUCUGAGUGUCAAGGUAGAGCGAGUGUCAAGGUGAGUGUCUGUGUGCUCUGAAUUGUCUCAGACUCCCCAUCCUCAGAUAAGCAGAGAAGCAAUGUGGUAACACACUGAGUAGGGCAUUGUGCUUAAGUGUCACUGUGAAAUGACAUUGCAAGUAUCCCCAAAAGGAGACAUCUACAAUGACUUCAGUCUUUCACCAGUGGUCUGGAGACCACACAGCUAUAAUUGGAAUGAACCCUAGAAUUAUGGCCAAAUAACAUAGUAUGUAUUUAUAAACUGAGUACUGUACUUAUAAUUUAAUAUAGUACCCAUUUAGUCUUAUUCUUUUUAAAAACACAUUAUGCUUAUAUCAAUAUUUGUUGUAAAAUAGGUAUUUCAUAAACUUCAUAGAUCCUUUUAUUCCUUAAUAAAUUAUCCCUCAGAGUUUCAGACCAACCAAUAUUUGGCUUUUCAAAGUGUAAUAUUCAUCAAGAAAUUCUCCCAAGCUUUUCUUAUAGUGUGUUUGAGUGGAAGUGGCUUUUGGCUUGAAUAGAAACUAGAGUUACUUUGAAAUGGUAUCUCUUUCUUUCAGACUCUUGUAAAUUUAGUAUCUGGCAAACAUAGCAUUAUCUAAAUAUUAGCACAAGCAGAAAUAAUCAACAUGGGAGCUUUUUUCACCUCCCUCAGAAAUGGUCUACUCAUAUCAAGAAUCUGAAAACUGUGGUAUUAGAAAAAGAAAAGACAAUACUUAUCUUUGGUUAAUGUAAAGGUGAGAGGAAUUAAUGAUCUCAGCGAGUACCGGUGACAUUUAAAACUCUGACUCAGGUCCUCCUACUCUCAGGAGAGACUGACAACCUUUAAAAUCUGAAGCUGAAACGAAGACAUGCUUCAUUCUGCCUACGAGUCUCAAGUUUGUGAACUCAUUUAAAGAAAGACACCAAGAGUGGUAGGAGAAAUUCACCAACAGUUAGGGGUCAUAAUGUAAGAUGGGGGGGCAGUGAAAAGAUGAUUGGGUAGCUCAAAGUUAUCUUUAAAAAGAAACAAGAAAUAAGAAAUUUGGUAAGAAAAAGAAAUGAAGAAUAUUGGAGUUGGGAGAUCUACCUUGUACCUGAUCACCGAAGGGACAGUCUCACUACCACGCAGUUCACACUCAGGCUUCCCGACUGACAUGUCUUCAUUGAGAACAGAUGCUACAUAAGUAGUUUCUUACUAGAGUCUGGUUUAGCAUCACCACAGGAGACUAAGAAUGGAAAGUUCCUCAAUGGAUGUCAGGCUUUACAAGAGGAUGCCGAGGAGAGUUUGGAUGGGUUGGGGGCAAGAGACACAUGGGAUAGGCACAGCAGAACUCAAUGAGACUUGAAGAUAGUGACUGGCAAGGGAAGACUGAAGGAGAGGGGUAUGUUCACGUGGAGAAGCCUAAAUAUUGGUCCGUCGUGGGUGAGGUUUUUCUGUUGAGUUUUAUGAAAAGCUGUCAUUAUUUGGUCCUGAAUAUAGAAUGUGGAGAGUGAGACCAGGAUCAGCUGCCUUGAUUCUGAUUUCCAGGCUUUCAGUGGAAGAACUGGGGCAGCUGAAGAACCUUAAAAAAAUCCCCUGGAAGUUCUUCCAUUAGAAGACAGGUAUCUGAUCUCUGAAUGCCCUAUGGUGGCCUGACUAAAGAAGAAAGCAAGGGAGAUGCUAAGGGCCAGGUAACCAAGAGCCACCCACUUACAGAUUCCGCAGGCUGAGAAUGUCAUAUAUGUUUUUGAGUUCUGUCAAUAAAACGUUCCCAGAAAUGUGGUAUUACUUUAAAGUAAAUCUCCUGGGGAAAAUCAGCAGUGUAGUAUUGCCAGGAUGCCUCCAGGGAAAUGCUGAAGACUAAUGAAAACAGCGGCAAGCACGGGGAAGAGAGAGAGCAGGCCCUGCAGAAUCAAUCUGAAAACCAAUGUUUGAAGAUACAGUUAGGACAGCAAGGCAUUUCCUGUUUUUGCUUCUCACCAAAGCAGCCCUAUGGAAAUGCAGCUUGUGACAGUUGGUCAGAUCGUGUGAUGGACAAGCAGCUUCCUUGGUUAUUUUCUUUUGAAGCAAAUACAGACGGCAGCAGUCCUAUACGGGGAGAUCACAGAUGUGAUCAUAUGUUCUUCUGUUGUUUUUCUGAUGUUAACGGGGUCAGAGAGACAAGAUCAUGGGGAAUAUGAACUUCUUGGUAUUAGCCACAGCAAAUUAAGUUUAAACAGUUUUCACUUUACUACGUGUGCUAUGUAUGAGCUUAAAAAAAAGUUCUAAAAUCUCGUAAAGACAACGCUGAAGCUGAUAAUACAAAAGGCAAAGGAGAGCAAUAAUGACCAUUAAAUGCACCAGAUUAACUGCAGCAGGUGGCGAUGGUGAUACAUGUGAAGAAAUAAUAUUUCAAUCAACUGAUGAUCAUAUGGCAGAUUCAAAGUUAAAAUGAAUAUAAUGUAAUAUACUUCAAUAUAGAGCUGUUAUAUAUAAUGUGUAUGUUCUAGGUUUCAGAAACACUGCAAUGUAGUGUAUUGUACUUAAGUAAGUAUACCUAAAUAGUAACCAUAGUCCCCCACAGAGUCACUAGUACUGUGAAUUAAAACAAUAAAAACAAAAAAACAAGAAAUGAACUUUUUUCCAGUAAAAAGAAAUUCCUGUGGUUACGGUCACAGACUUCUUUUGGAUACAGAAAGACAAUAUACAUUUUUAAAGUAAUAAACAACAACAAAAAAAUAGUUGCAAAGGUAAGUAGCCUUACUGCAUGAGGGAAGGUAAAAUGUCACUAAAAUACAUGAGGAACAGAGAAUCCUCUGAAUUCUGUAAAGCAGAAAUAAUCUAGAUAUCAAAAGGAAGGAAGGAAGGAAGGGAGGGAGGGAGGAAGGGAGGAAGGAAGGAUGAAAGAAACUGCCUAGUAAAAGAGGGGCAUGGGAAUGAGAAAACUAAAUCUGUUUCCAGGUCACCAAGCCAUCAACCUGUGAAAGCUAAGUCCAGUCAUAAAAUAUUCUAGCAUACAUUAUGCUAGAAUAGCAUUCUACUUUAAUGUCUGACGUAGGCAAGAGCCACUGAUUCUUAGAGACUGCCCUCAAGAUGCUCCCUGAUAUUCUGUUGGUUUGCUAGACAUGGUAAAUAACCCAUCCUGGAAAGACUUGGGUGAAGGCCACACUGGUUUCAGGAGACACAGCUUGUGAAUGGUAGUGAUGUUCAGUGAUGAUGGUGCAGGCAGCACCAGGGAGCUUCAGUUUGGGAGUGGGACUCCCACGUGGUUCCUGUGUGAGUGUGUGCACAUGCCGGGAACUGGGACUUCAUGCCUGGGACUAGAUUUAUCUUUGAUCUGUAGACCAUAUUCCUUCUCUAAAACCUCGAAGGUUCUAGAGAGGACCGGAAUAGCCUUUGAGCUCCAGCUUAAUCCUGGGCUGUUUGGAUGUCACCUGCUUGGCUAGGUACCUCUCCUCUGGGAGUCUUGUGAGGUGCCAUAGAUGGCUCCCUCUGGUCUGCUUCUGGUUGAGUGUGUGUACUCCACACUCUUCUGGAGGAAAACAGCCUGUCCCUGUGGGUUUGCUGUGGAGCCAACAAGCUGCCUUUGUUUCUCCCAACUCUGAAAUGCUACAAAAAGCAACAGAGUGGGCAGGUGACUGCUUCCUGGGAAGAAAGCCAUGAGUCUGACACAGUGGUAGAAGAGGCAACUGUAUACAGGCACCAGGAACUCUGCCGUGUGUGUGCUUCACUUGAGGAUGCACACACACUCAGACAACAUAAAUAGACACAAACAUACAAAUAUGCACGGUCUUGUGCACACCCAUGCGCGUGCGCACACAUACACAUUCACCAGUAAAUCCACAGAAGUGUAGCAUUUGUUCAAGUUUUUCCUCAAGGGGCUAUACACAAACUACUGCUGGUUGGGCUCUUUCUAAAUGCUCUAAAGCCUCAUCACAGAUAUUGAUGCACCCAACCAGGAUAACAAAGCAGAAAGCAGGUACAUGCAUGGUGUCAGGCCUUUGACUCUAGCUAAAAAUUCUCAAGCAUGUGCUGCUGUCAGUGGAGACUAUGAAUGAAGUCUUGUGGUACAAGCGCCUCACACCAUGUGUGCACAGGGAUAAGGUGCACUCACACACAGACAUUCUGGACAGCAGCUGUGACAAACUGGAUGGGUUAAGCCACUUUUGUUAUUAGCAUUUGUGUGCAAACGACAGCUAUGCUUUGGGCUAUAACAACUGUCGCAACAGCAGUAGAAACAGAUGUCUCCUGUGGGGUUCUUUUUCUCUAUGCCUUAGGAGUAUCAGGAUCAUGUAAGCACUCUGAAUCAAGAAACUCCUCAGUCUGAAAGAGACCCAGGGAGAGCCUUGGACUGUUUUCAGGCAUUGCUGAAGCUAGGACUUCAUGACUAGGGCUAGAGUUUGUCUAUGAUUUGCAGAUUAUGCCUCUUCAUUAAAGACUUGAAAGUUUUGAUUUUGCAUUUAAACAGAGGCUCACAAGACAAACCCAAUGCACCCCAAAACUAAGGUGGGACAGAGUGCAGCCUGUACUGUUUGACUCUGAAAGCUGUGUUUGGGAUGGGGCUCCCUGUUAAGGAGACAUCUGUGGGCCCCCCAGGCACCCGUGACUUUGUUUAACAAGGUUUGUUCCUCAGCAACAUGGUUAUUUUACAUUCAGCCUCGACCACCAAUGAGACAGAGCAGACAGGAUAUGGCUGCUUCCUGCAAGCAGCUGGUUCCCCUGCAAGUUUGGUGGCUCCCAGGAAGUCACUGUCCCCAUAGUCCUCAGUCAUGGAUAGAGCUUAUUUUUGUGAUUAUGAAACCAUUAAAAACCAAGAAAUGUCUCUAUCUUCACCGCCUUGUGUGUGUGUGUGUGUGUAUGUAUGUAUGUAUGUAUGUAUGUAUGUAUGUAUGUAUGUAUGUAUGUAUGCUUUUCUUCAAGGUUUCUUACUUAAGGCAAUAAUCUACAACCUAAUGGUUUCUUGUGAAAGUUCCUUAGCUGUGGUUAUGCCAGGAGUCUGUGGAACAUAGAUGGCCUAAAGAAACUCUGGGUAAAGGGCAGUUGUCAGUAAGCCAUAUGUUAAGACUCUUGCUCCAGUUCUGGGCCUUUUUUAGUCUUCCUCCAGUGAGGAGGAGACAUAGAGUUCUGAAAAAUAACCCGUGCCCUGCGAGCCCUCCCUUUGCCUCUUCCCUUACAGAGAGUGGAGACUAGCUCUACGGACCCAGCAGCACUCCGGGCACCAGGUGAUGCGCAUCCUUUUCUGCAGUGCAUUCGGUAUCCAAGCAGAAAAGCAUCUUGGGAAACUUAGGCUUCUGGGGCUACUUUGCUUGGGUUGAUCAUCUUGCUACCCAGGGUUAGAAAUGCUGAUGCUCUGGUUAGUAACUGGUGCAGUUAUAGGAACACAGUCUGCUUCUGCCUCUGCCUGGUGUGGAGGUUUAAGACGCACUGGAAAUGAUAACUCCGCCCACAAAGCCCUUGGGAACAGGGACAUAUUUUCACUAGCUUCUGGGGCAUCCUGAGCACCAGCGCACAGGUUGCUGUUUAAAGUUUGCCCUAUGCCACCUAUUUCCAGGGCACCUAAGAGAACAGUCCUUUUUCUUUAUGAAAACAUGAAGAAGGUUGCCAGGGUUCCAGUUGGGAAGUUAUGACCAGCCCCAGAAAGCCAGCAGCUGGGCCAGGUCAAGUACUGUCCCCUCCCAUUAGACUGGGAGUCCAGAGCUGGGAGGCCCCUGGGUAGCUUUGC